rnacentral:rRNA from 1 species
UACGUAGGGUGCGAGCGUUAAUCGGAAUUACUGGGCGUAAAGCGUGCGCAGGCGGUUCGCUAAGACCGAUGUGAAAUCCCCGGGCUUAACCUGGGAACUGCAUUGGUGACUGGCGGGCUAGAGUGUGGAAGAGGGGGGUAGAAUUCCACGUGUAGCAGUGAAAUGCGUAGAGAUGUGGAGGAAUACCGAUGGCGAAGGCAGCCCCCUGGGCUAACACUGACGCUCAUGCACGAAAGCGUGGGGAGCAAACAGG